AACAGGGAGAACAAUUUAUUCCAGAUAGCUAAACUUAUAUGAGGUAUUAAAAACUCAGGCCCAUAUUCAACAUUGAGAUCGAAUGCAGCCCACAAAUAAUGAAACCCUAGAUUCUUCUCCAAGUAUUCAGUAUCUAUAAAUUCACCCACCAAAUCAAUAAUUCUACCAUCUCUACAACCACUGCAAUCUGCAGGGGAACUCAUCGGCUAGCUUUCAUGGAGUUUCUGUUUAAAGUAAUGGUCACAUCUAAUAAUGUACAAAGAAAGUGAGAGCUAUUUUUCAGCGCUCUCAUGAAGGGGCUUUGAUUUAGAUAAGUUGGUUGAAGUUAAAAAAUUUAUUUAAUGAGGUUGCUUUAGAAAUUGUGUGGCUUAAUGAAUCGUGACAUUUUAUUCUUGUUAUUAUCUUUGAAUGUAGUUAAUGAAAUAAUAUUUGGAAUGAUUCAUUAGGCUCACACAGUUUCCCAAGCAACAAUAUUUUAAACGAUUUUUGCUUCGACGAACUUAUAAUUUAUUUAAAGCCCUUUGAUGAGAGUGUCGAAAUUUAGCUACAUGUGUUCCUAUUUUUUUGGGUAAGUUUUGAUGAUUGAAAGAUGCCAUCAAAAUAUAGCCUUCUAGGCAUGCUCAGGUCAUCUAUUAAGGUAAAAACAAUACUGUAUUUAUUUUUAAAUUCUUUUACUGUAUUUGUUUAGAAAGGUUUCUAUUACCUAUUUUAUUAUUUUGCCUACUAAUAUCAAAAUCCAGAAUAUGCAGAGCUUGGACUAGUGCAACUUGUUUCGAUCCUGUAUGGAUGGAUUUUUUUCUGAUUUUUUUAUUUUAUGUUUUGUAAUCUUUAAAGUAGUUUAUUACUUACAUUAAUUUUGCUAUAGCCUCGAAAUACAUACAAAUGUAAUCCCAUGCUUCAACGAGUUUUUAAUUCUCGUGUUGCUUUUUGUACUAGGAGUACAAUUUGUUUUUCUAGUUGACAUUCCUUUGAAAUUCAGUAUUUAAUUGCUUGUGGACUAUGAAGUAAAGAAAAAUUGUUUAUUUUCA